rnacentral:rRNA from 1 species
GCAGUAGCCGCGGGAAUACGUAGGGGGCUAGCGUUGUCCGGAAUCAUUGGGCGUAAAGCGCGUGUAGGCGGCUUGACAAGUCUGCUGUGAAAUCCCCGGGCUCAACCUGGGAAUGGCAGUGGAUACUGGCAAGCUAGAGUGUGUCAGAGGAUGGUGGAAUUCCCGGUGUAGCGGUGAAAUGCGUAGAGAUCGGGAGGAACAUCAGUGGCGAAGGCGGCCAUCUGGGACAACACUGACGCUGAGGCACGAAAGCGUGGGGAGCAAACAGGAUUAGAUACCCCAGUAGUCCCUGUCUCUUAUAC